CAAUAAUGUUCAGCAAAGUAAGAUUUACAAAUAAGUCAACAUGACUGAAAUUGUCAGUUGACCCCUUUAGGAGUUAUUGCCCUUUAUAGUCAAUUUUUAACCAUUUUUCGUAAAUCUUAGUAAUCUUUUUCAAAAAUCUUCUCCUCUGAAACUACUGGGCCAAGUUCAUUAUAGAUAGAGAUAAUUGUAAGCAGCAAGAAUGUUCAGUAAAGUAAGAUUUACAACACAUCACCAAUCACCAAAACACAAUUUUGUCAUGAAUCCAUCUGCGUCCUUUGUUUAAUAUUCACAUAGACCAAGGUGAGCGACACAGGCUCUUUAGAGCCUCUAGUUUAAAAGUGUGGUGAUAUUUCUUAACUUGAGAUCAACACCUAGACUUGCUACAAUUCCCUUUCUAAUAUUUCUCUCUUACUAAUUUAUAUUUUUACUGAUAAGUGCCAGCCUACUGAUUGCCCUUGGAGAACUUCCUCCUGCAGAUGUCAAUAUAAUUGUAAUCUCCUAGUUAUAGCAGUAAAUUAUUAAAGGGG
rnacentral:lncRNA from 1 species